ACAUUUGUAGUUUCAACAUUUGCAGUUUCAACAGUUGUAUUAACGACACUUGCAUUAUCAAGCCUUGCAUUAACAAGCCAUGCGUUAGCGAACUAUGACCAUAUUUGGGUUGAUGACGUUGAUCAUUAAUCCGGAAAACGCCGAGUUUGGUCCUACAAUGAUGUCUCCCGUCUCAAUAAAAAUAUCUCUUCUUGGGUGGAGUUUUUCAAGGGGAACUACUCCCAUUAUUUCCGUUCUUCAAACAGCAAAUGAAACUAGUUUAUAGGCAAAUUCAAUAAAAAUGUCAGAUAAUGAUCUGAAGAAAACUGCUGAGCUUCUUAGGCAGGCAGCCAGAGAACUGGAAGAAAAAUCUCGAACUACACAGACUCCUACUACUAUAUUACCUGGACCGUCAACACCAAAUGUCAGCGAAAUGCGCCGUUUGUUUUGUCCCUAUUCUAGUAUUUCGAGGACAAGUAAUAAAAGAGUUGCUGGUACUGGUAGACAGAACACAUGGACUCAUCGUUUUUUUUGUGUGUCAAGUUGCACACAGAACACUGUCCCUGAUCGGUUCGCAAGAAAAGUCACACAGGAUGCUGGACUGGGAGAAAAAAGAAUAACUCUUUUUAAGAAUGAUGAUGCGAAGUAUUUUUCAAAUGAAAUAUAUUCACAUUAUCCAAAAUUGAUAGAUGGAGGAGGGUAUGAUCUAAAUCGUGCCAUAGGAAGAACCAUAAUGGAGUUUAUUGACCCCCCUCCAUCAGGGUACACAAGUGCUUUUCUGGCACAGUCAUACAUUGGACAAGCCAUCAUAUAUAUCAAACCCUUACAGAGAGAUCUGGAUAUUACUAUUAGUGGGACUCCAAAAGGCAUGCAGUCAGAUAUGAUAACACAGGAGUGCAUGGAUUGCGGUGAAAAAGUGCCUUUAAAUAAUUUGAGAAAACAUAUACAAGAAUUUCAUGAGCUUCAGGAAGAUAAUUUACCUAAAAUAAAGAGACAGAAGUCAGAGCAGUUGUCCUCUGUUACUCCUAUUUGUAAAUAUGCUUGUGUAAGUGAGCCUGAAAUCUUGCCCAAUUUGCGGUCUAGAAUUUGAUGAGGAUUUAGUUGAAAUACAUGCUGCAUCUUGCGGCGAAGAUGACAAGAAAACAGACGAAGGAAGGACACAGACUGGUAAUUUAAAAUAUGAUUUGCAUCAACUGUCCGAGAAAAUUUUUGGUCAAAAUGUAAAGGAGAGAUUCCAUGUCUCAGUAGUUAGAAAAAUGUUUUUGCAAACAGCCAUGGAAAAUCUGGAAGAUUUUGAAUUUGAUCAACUGUUAAAUGUAAUAUUCAUAGGGGAAGAUGGGGUGGAUGCAGGCGGCUUAACAAGGGAGUUUUUCUCUCUUAUCUUUAAACAUACUUCCAUUUUUGAAAAUAGUGGUUUUGCCAUCAAUUCAACACUACUACAGAAUAAAACAUACAAGACUAUAGGCAAAGUUGUUGCCUUUUCUAUCUUAAUGGGAAAUCAAGGACCAAGAUGCCUUCUACCACAGUUUUUACUAAAUUCAUCCUUCAGAAUGCACAACCUGCAGUUGGUGAAAUUUCAGAUGAAAUGUUAACUGGAGAUGUUCUCCAAGCUCUUAAAGAGAUUGAUUCUUUAGAAGCUCUAAAUGUAUCAGAGGUUUUUGAGAAAAAUGCUGAUAUAUUGGAAUCUGCAGGAUAUAAAAAGAUGUUGACAUUAGAAAACAAAAAAGAAGCCAUGUUAGCGAUUCGAUGCCAUUAUGGAUUUUAUCAUUUUUUGCCACCAUUACUGCAGUUCAUAGAAGGUCUCAAACUUCAUGGUGUUUAUAAAUUAUUAAUGCAGUAUUCAGCAGAAGCCACCGAAUACUUUAGCCGGACAGAUGUUAAGGCUUUGGAUGUAAUUAAUUUGUUUCAUCCUAGUUUCUCAAUUAAACCAGAAGACAAGGAGUUAGAAGAGAUAAUUGUGUACAAUUUUCAUCAGUUUUUGAAGAAACUUGAACGUGGAAAAAUCAGUACCCAGUGGUUGGAUAUGGAAACAGAUCUCGAAGAUGAUGUUCAACUGAAUACUGGACAUUUUCUUCUGGCAACAACUGGUAGCCCUGCCAUAUCUCCAAAUAUAGGAGAUGGGCUACUACUAUUU